rnacentral:rRNA from 1 species
AUUGAACGCUGGCGGCAGGCCUAACACAUGCAAGUCGAGCGGCAGCGGGAAAGUAGCUUGCUACUUUUGCCGGCGAGCGGCGGACGGGUGAGUAAUGCCUGGGAAAUUGCCCAGUCGAGGGGGAUAACAGUUGGAAACGACUGCUAAUACCGCAUACGCCCUACGGGGGAAAGCAGGGGACCUUCGGGCCUUGCGCGAGUGGAUAUGCCCAGGUGGGAUUAGCUAGUUGGUGAGGUAAUGGCUCACCAAGGCGACGAUCCCUAGUUGGUCUGAGAGGAUGAUCAGCCACACUGGAACUGAGACACGGUCCAGACUCCUACGGGAGGCAGCAGUGGGGAAUAUUGCACAAUGGGGGAAACCCUGAUGCAGCCAUGCCGCGUGUGUGAAGAAGGCCUUCGGGUUGUAAAGCACUUUCAGCGAGGAGGAAAGGUUGAUCCCUAAUACGUAUCAACUGUGACGUUACUCGCAGAAGAAGCACCGGCUAACUCCGUGCCAGCAGCCGCUGUAACAC